GACGAACGCUGGCGGCGUGCUUAACACAUGCAAGUCGAACGGAAAGGCCCUGCUUUUGUGGGGUGCUCGAGUGGCGAACGGGUGAGUAACACGUGAGUAACCUGUCCUUGACUUUGGGAUAACUUCAGGAAACUGGGGCUAAUACCGGAUAGGAGCUCCUGCUGCAUGGUGGGGGUUGGAAAGUUUCGGCGGUUGGGGACGGACUCGCGGCUCAGCAGCUUGUUGGUGAGGUAGUGGCUUACCAAGGCAUUGACGAGUAGCCGGACUGAGAGUGUGACAGGCCACAUUGGGACUGAGAUGCGGCCAGGACUGCUACGGGAGGCAGCGGUGGGGAAUAUUGCACGAUGGGCGGAGGCCGGGUGGAGCAUCGCCGCGUGCGGGAUGACGGCCUUCGGGUUGUAAAGCGCGUGCGCCUGUGACGAAGCGUGAGUGACGGUAAUUGGUAAAGAAGCACCGGCUAACUACGUG
rnacentral:rRNA from 1 species